UACAGAGGGUGCAAGCGUUGUUCGGAAUCAUUGGGCGUAAAGCGCACGUAGGCGGCCUGCUAAGUCGGAUGUGAAAGCCCAGGGCUCAACCCUGGAAGUGCAUUCGAAACUGGCGGGCUUGAAUGUCGGAGAGGGCAGUGGAAUUCCGAGUGUAGAGGUGAAAUUCGUAGAUAUUCGGAGGAACACCAGUGGCGAAGGCGACUGCCUGGACGAACAUUGACGCUGAGGUGCGAAAGCGUGGGGAGCAAACAGGG
rnacentral:rRNA from 1 species